UACGUAGGGUGCGAGCGUUAAUCGGAAUUACUGGGCGUAAAGCGUGCGCAGGCGGUUCGUUGUGUCGGUGGUGAAAGCCCCGGGCUUAACCUGGGAAUGGCCAUGGAAACUGGCGAACUGGAGUGUGGCAGAGGGGGGUGGAAUUCCACGUGUAGCAGUGAAAUGCGUAGAUAUGUAGAGGAAUACCGAUGGCGAAGGCAGCCCCCUGGGAUAACACUGACGCUCAUGCACGAAAGCGUGGGGAGCAAACAGG
rnacentral:rRNA from 1 species